GGCUCUGUGGCCUAAUGGAUAAGGCGUCGGUCUCCUAAACCAAAGAUUCAAGGU
rnacentral:tRNA from 1 species